AACAACGCUGGCGGCGCGCCUAACACAUGCAAGUCGCACGAGAAAGCGGGAGCAAUCUCGCAAGUACAGUGGCGUACGGGUGAGUAACACGUGGAUUAUCUGCCCUGGAGUGGGGAAUAACGCUGGGAAACCGGCGCUAAUACCGCAUAUUCCCGAGAGGGGAAAGCAGCAAUGCGCUCGAGGAGGAGUCCGCGGCCGAUUAGCUAGUUGGUAGGGUAAAAGCCUACCAAGGCUGUGAUCGGUAGCCGGCCUGAGAGGGCACACGGCCACACUGGCACUGAAACACGGGCCAGACUCCUACGGGAGGCAGCAGUGGGGAAUCUUGCACAAUGGGGGAAACCCUGAUGCAGCGACGCCGCGUGAGCGAUGAAGCCCUUCGGGGUGUAAAGCUCUUUCGGCAGGGAAGAUUAUGACGGUACCUGCAGAAGCAGCUGCGGCUAACUACGUGCCAGCAGCCGCGGUAAUACGUAGGCAGCAA
rnacentral:rRNA from 1 species